GGAGAAACACAUUCACCAGUCUGGGAACACAAAUGCGACAUGCUGCAUGUAGAAACGCUGCUACAGUAAUUCACAGCCAGUUGAACUGAGACACUAAACCUGCUGAACCUGGAGAUCGUCCACUAGGGGCGCCACAGCGGAUCCGACCCAGAACUUCCCGCGUGCUUGGGGGAACAAAGUCAGAGAAGUGAACAUCUCCUAAAGCUUAUUUCUGACAUGUGGACUUCCCUAAUGAUCAGUUCUGCUCAUGAAAUUCUUACUCAACCAUCCAAGCUCAACACUGUCGAGUUUAUUUCAGUAAUAAAUCAGCUGAUGUGUAAACUAGGAGCGAGUUAGUAAGAUGGAGCACAGACAUGGCGUCUGCAGUGUGUAGUACUGAGGGUAUUAAACACCUCUGCUGUCGGAAGAGUUCAUAUCGGACAUGAUUAUAUAUAGAAAUAAAUAAAUAUAUUAUA